UGAACGCUGGCGGCGUGCUUAAGACAGGCAAGUCGAACGAAGAGUUUGUAGCAAUACGGGCUCUUAGUGGCGAAUGGGUGCGUAACACGUAGGUGACCUACCCUGAAGUGGGUGAAUAACAGUUCGAAAGGACUGCUAAUACCGCAUGUGGUCCUGGAGGUUAGAGGCUCCAGGUCUAAAGCUUCUCGCAAGAGAGGCGCUUCAGGAGGGGCCUGCGGAUCAUCGGCUAGUUGGUAGGGUAACGGCCUACCAAGGCAGCGACGAGUAGGGGACCUGAGAGGGUGACCCCCCACACUGGCACUGACACACGGGCCAGACUCCUACGGGAGGCAGCCGUCGGGAAUAUUGCACAAUGAGCGAAAGCUUGAUGCAGCAACGCCGCGUGCGCGAUGAAGGUCUUCGGAUCGUAAAGCGCUUUUCGAGGGGAUGAGGAAGGACAGUACCCUCGGAAUAAGUCACGGCUAACUACGU
rnacentral:rRNA from 1 species